rnacentral:rRNA from 1 species
AUUGAACGCUGGCGGCAGGCCUAACACAUGCAAGUCGAGCGAGCGGCGGACGGGUGAGUAAUGUCUGGGAAACUGCCUGAUGGAGGCGGAUAACUACUGGAAACGGUUGCUAAUACCGCAUACCAUCAGAUGUGCCCAGAUGGGAUUAGCUAGUAGGUGGGGUAACGGCUCACCUAGGCGACGAUCCCUAGCUGUGCUGAGAGGAGGAUCAGCCACACGGGAACUGAGACACGGGCCAGACUCCUACGGGAGGCAGCAGUGGGGAAGAUUGGACAAUGGGCGCAAGCCUGAUGCAGCCAUGCGGCGUGUGUGAAGAAGGCCUUCGGGUUGUAAAGCACUUUCAGCGGGGAGGCGUUACCCGCAGAGGAAGCACCGGCUAACUCCGUGCCAGCAGCCGCGGUAAUUC